ACGAACGCUGGCGGCGUGCCUAAUACAUGCAAGUCGAACGCUUCUUUCCUCCCGAGUGCUUGCACUCAAUUGGAAAGAGGAGUGGCGGACGGGUGAGUAACACGUGGGUAACCUACCCAUCAGAGGGGGAUAACACUUGGAAACAGGUGCUAAUACCGCAUAACAGUUUAUGCCGCAUGGCAUAAGAGUGAAAGGCGCUUUCGGGUGUCGCUGAUGGAUGGACCCGCGGUGCAUUAGCUAGUUGGUGAGGUAACGGCUCACCAAGGCUACGAUGCAUAGCCGACCUGAGAGGGUGAUCGGCCACACUGGGACUGAGACACGGCCCAGACUCCUACGGGAGGCAGCAGUAGGGAAUCUUCGGCAAUGGACGAAAGUCUGACCGAGCAACGCCGCGUGAGUGAAGAAGGUGUUCGGAUCGUAAAACUCUGUUGUUAGAGAAGAACAAGGACGUUAGUAACUGAACGUCCCCUGACGGUAUCUAACCAGAAAGCCACGGCUAACUACGUG
rnacentral:rRNA from 1 species